CAGGUUCUGGUGCCAGGUGCUUAACAUAACUCAGCAAUUUUGGCUUUGUGAUGCAUCCCACAAUUACAAGAACUUCUUCACCGCCCUCUAGUGGUAAAGAUGAAGAUGUGACACUCAGAAUAACCAUUCGCCUUUCCUGCUGAUGUUGAACAUGGCCCCUUUUUUUCUGAUAACUCGCUGGACUUUAUAUAAUCCAAAAUUGUGAUUGCUCCAAAGUUGGCAGUUCAUCCUCACUUUACAGAUAAAGUUGACCUGUAGAACAGUGCUUCUCAAAUUGGCUGGCGAAGAACCAGUUUUUAAAAGAAUUUUAAUCUGCAAACCAAUCCAUUGUACAAUAAAAAUGAAUUAUUAAUACUGGACACAUUACAUUAAAAAACAAAGAUAUACAAAAUUGAACCAAAUUUUAUUAUCAUAUUCAACAGACAAAAUUGCAUUUCAAUAAAUAUAAUCAGAAUAAACAUAACGGGAAAAAUAAUUGCAAAAUCUGUACAUGUUUAUUGAAUGUGUGUAUUAUAUGAUUAAUAUAUAAAUUGCUAUUGCAUUUAUAAUUUUUGUUGUUCUGCAAUUAUAACUAAAUGAAAAAUUUUGAGUAAAAUAGUGUUUCUCUACUUUGAAUGAACACCAUGCAUAUAAAUAUUGAGCAUUCUUAAUGGACAAAUACACAAGUUAUGGCUUGC
rnacentral:lncRNA from 10 species